UAACGUGGCAGACAACAACCUUGGACGUUGCGCCACACACACAAUGACACUAAUUUAAUUUAAAAUGCACAGUCGUUUUUGGAAUCAUUUGUAUUAGUACUCGUUCUUAACUGUGUGAUUAGUACUCGUUAAUCUUGUUAACUUUUUUUUUUUUUUUUAAUUGUGAGUUGUAAGUUGUAACAGAGUGCCUUUAAUUCCACUGACGUUAUGUCAUUAUAUUUUAAAGACGAGCAUAUUUGGCAUUUUCUUGAGAAGCAAAUUAAACUAGAGAAUAUGGAAAAAAAUUAUUUAGAGUUUGAAACACAUUGACCAAUGGUCAAC
rnacentral:lncRNA from 1 species